rnacentral:piRNA from 1 species
UAGUGGAUGAAUGCAAGUCGGAGUAGA